rnacentral:rRNA from 1 species
GACGAACGCUGGCGGCGUGCCUAACACAUGCAAGUCGAGCGAGAGACUUCGGUCUCUAGCGGCGGACGGGUGAGUAACACGUGGGUAACCUGCCUAAUAGAGGGGGAUAGCCUUCCGAAAGGAAGAUUAAUACCGCAUAAGAAGUAAAUGUCGCAUGACAAAAGCUUUAAAGGAGCAAUCCGCUAUUAGAUGGGCCCGCGGCGCAUUAGCUAGUUGGUGAGGUAACGGCUCACCAAGGCGACGAUGCGUAGCCGACCUGAGAGGGUGAUCGGCCACAUUGGAACUGAGAUACGGUCCAGACACCUACGGGAGGCAG